rnacentral:rRNA from 1 species
UACGAAGGGGGCGAGCGUUGUUCGGAUUUACUGGGCGUAAAGGGCGCGUAGGCGGGCGAUCAAGUCAGGGGUGAAAGCCCCCAGCUCAACUGGGGAAGUGCCUUUGAUACUGGUCGCCUCGAGCGAGGUAGGGGCGUGCGGAACUUCCGGUGGAGCGGUGAAAUGCGCAGAUAUCGGGAGGAACACCAAUGGCGAAGGCAGCUUGCUGGGACGGCACUGACGCUGAGACGCGAAAGCGUGGGGAGCAAACAGG